GACCAUCCAGUGCACCCCCGAUGAGGAUAAGACCGCUCCCGGUCCUGUAGACAAACCCUAUCAAUCACUUAUCCUCUUGCUCGUCCUCUCCCUCUUGGUUUCGCUCCCUCCCGAGCUCUCGUCGACGCGCUGUCGCCAUCCUCGUGGUUACUGGCCUCCUCGGUGAUCGGGAGGUUCUCUAGGAGCUCCGUCAUCAUCGACUCCUUCGCCUACCUCCGCUAAAUCAAGCUAAGAGGCACCGUAUGCUCAGGAUCGAGAUGGUUUCCACCAUGGCCGUCACAUCUCGCUGUCGAGCUUGACGCAUCCGGCCACCCCCGCAGCUCAUGACCUUGUCCACGAGCUCCGCGACCCCGUUAUCGCGAUAGACCCCAAGACGGCUGAUGAUCAGGUGAUCGUCUUCUUCGUUGAGGAUCCGUACAUGUCUACAGAGCUUCCAGAUGACGGAGCACCUGAGACCGUUGCCCCCACCGAUGACUACUACUACCCCGAGGGUGCCUACUACUACGUGACGGACGCUGGCGACCAAGAGUAGUUAGGAGGCUCCCAGGCAGGUGGCCUUGCCUUUUCGAUCGUAGAUGCUUUUG